AUUCAGAUGACUUCCAGCCGGGCUGUUCCGGGAACUAAACCGCGCCCCCUCCGCGCUACGUCUUCAGCUGACUGCGCUACGGCAGGAGGGACGAGCUUCGGAACAGCCAACCGACUCAGUGCCAUAAACACAGGCGCAUACAAGCUUGCUGGCUUUAAACCCCGCCUCUUCAUACAGUUUCAAAGCUCUGAUUGGAUAUCAUCCCACUCUCGCGCGGCAAUUCCUCAAAGACCUGUCAAUCAUGGUGGAGUUAGGACGUUACAGCUCCUGACAGACAGAGCGCUACAGACUACACGGCUGCUGCUGCUGAUGUAAAAGUUAGGAGAACUCCGGUGUCGUUUAUUUUAUUUUAUUCCAUUCCGUCCGUACGUAAUUAAACACACAUAUCGGGUUUGAACACGGGUGUUUUGACAGAAGUGGCAGCGGAGGAGUCGCAACACUUUAACGAGGUUUUUUUCCCCUUCUUCUUCUUCUUCUCUCCCUUCACAUUUUUUCAAGCCACAUCCAUAAAGGGUAAGUAGCGACACCACCGCAUUUAAGCCAGUCUGCUUAUUUAACUUUUAACAAUUCACUCUAUAAAGUGUGUAGAUACGAAAUAUUUACAUGUUUACAUCCUGAAAAGUGUUCAGUUGUGUUUAAAAUCGAGCUACGCCUAAUUAAAGACUAUACCGUUUAUAUAAACAUGCCCCAGUUGGACUAAUAUCAGUGUAGCCUAAACGCUAGUAACGAAAUGAGCAAAUAACAACAUUAUAAACAUGAUAAAAAUAACAUUUUACCAUGUACUUUACAAAUAGUGACCGCUUAAUAUACACACAGGAAUGUCUUCAAGAUAAACAUGUCUGUUUUGCCUUUAUUUAUUUGUUUGUUUGUUUUUAUUUAUUUAUUUAUUUAUUUAUUUUUCCAGCAUUAUGCAGUGCAGAAGAUGGACUAUAGGGAUUAGAUCUUGGGGCUUAAAAUAUAUAAAUAAUAAUGUAUAAUAUUAAAUAUAUUAUAUAUUGUGCAGGGAUCAAAUAUCUUAAUACUUUCACGUUAUCACAUGAUCCCAAAAGCUGCUAAUUGUUUUAGCUGAAAUAAUAAAGCACUUUUAUACACACACAAAACCCCCAAAACAAGCACGUGCCAUGUUGUACUACCGCAUCAAUUAUGCAGAUAUUUAUAAAUAUUUCAUAACCCGCUAUAAUCGAGCAGAAAUGCGCGGUCUUUUUUUCUUUUCUUGCCUUUCUCCCUUUUUUGGUGCGCGCGGUCACCAGGGGGUAGUCCCUCAUUAAAUACCCUGCCAUGACGUCACCUCUUCCAGUAUUUGGACUCAGGGAAUCCUCGCGCGCACGCGCGCUUGUUUACCGCCGGGUCCUCGUGAUUCUCUCCGUGGCCUCAGUUUUCGGUUUUGGUCACUCGAGCUACCUUCAGGGGGACUUUUACAUGGCUACUUUAGCGUGACCAGAGUAAGAGUUCAGGGGGAAUUUUUCUAUAUGUCGUUAUUUUAAAGAGUCAUGCUGCUCUCACGUGCUGCACUUUCUGUUUUCCACCUGUGAAAGUGUGUGUGUGUGUUUUAACGCAAAUGCACCAUUAGUGUUUUGUUAUUUCUAUCUAGCCAGAUAACCUGGCCUGUUUUGUUUAUCUUAAGAUUUCAAGGUGUUGUUAAAAUAUACACGAUGCAACUGAAAGUUGGAGAUUUAACCCGGUGUCUAGGGCUGUGCCGUACUGUAUAGUCCAAGAUAUCCCGAUACACUUCUUCCCCAUGAUAAGAAUUUGUCCUACAAUAUCGAUGAUCUAGUUGAUGACCUGUUUACAUGCAGCAACGUGGACACCUCGGACAUAGAACAGAACAAGCGUAGAGGAGGGCGGAGUUCCAACCCUUGACGGGGAAGGAAGAAGAAUUAAUGCCCCCCCAAAAAAAGGAGUUUCCUUUAAAUUUACAUUCAUGGCAUUUAGCAGACACCCUUAGCUAGAGUGACUUACAUUCAUCUCAUUUAUACAACUAAGCAGUUGAGGGUUAAGGGCCUUGCCCAAGGGCCUAACAGUGGUAGCUUGGUAGUGCUGGGGCUUGAACUCCUGACCUUCUUAUCAGUAACCCAGAGCCUUUAACCACUGAGCCACCAUUGCCCUUCCUCCCUAAUAUGGAAGUGUUUCGGAUACAGAUCAUCAGAUGAGAAUCAAACGUCUGUGAUUUAAAAGUGUGUCAAAAACCCGUCUUGACGGAGGGUUGAAACAUAACAAAUUUGUUCCACCACCUCAACUGUACACACUGAUCAGCAUAUGAGGAAAGCCAGAAGUUUAGAUAGUGUUUUCAUAUCGUUGUUUAUAUUGUUACUGCAAAAAAUACCAUGAAAUAUCGUGAUGUAGUUUUAAGUCGAUAUCGCCCAUCCCUAUGGGUGGACCACUGAUCAUGGGUGGACCAGUCGGGUUUCAUACCUGGGUUGCUUCAGCUCGGGGGGGAAAAAAUGGCGGACGAACUCUCAGCCAACUUCGUCUACAAAAGUAGCUCAUUAUCGUUGUUGUAGCUCUCAUAUGACUGCUUACGUUAGUGUUUUUCAUUUUAUUUGAUGUUUUUUCUAGUCUAACGACUUUAAGUGUUCCAUGAUUUAAAAAAAACUAUCCACUAGCUAGCCCAGAGGUUCCCAAACUUUUCCAAGGCAAGGCCCCCCAAAUGGCAUUAACAUUUGACUGAGGCCCCCUUUUGCAAGAUGUUUUUAAAACACAUUAAAAAUAUAGACUUCUGAAUAUAUCCCCCUUUUUUAUUAAUAAUUACAUCCUACAUCUUUACAUUACACUACAUUAGGAAUUGAUUGUGUGUGUGGCUGUCUGAGAGUGUGAAAGAGAAAACAUACUAGUGGGAAGCAUGGGCAAACCAAAUUGUUGAGGCCCCCUGGUGGCCCCCACUUUGAAAACCACUGAGCUAGCCUACGAUCCUGAACAAAUUUACCUGACAUAUAAUAUCAGAAAGACGUCGGUCCUUUCGGCUCUUGAUGAAUGCCUGUGGUGACGAUUUACAACGCGAGUGCGUAGGCACGUGUCCCAGUGCGUAGUGAGCGCCACGGUCCUUAAUCGUGUACACGAUACACUGAUUCACCAGCGAGGGAGCUGAUUGAGACGCACCUGUGCUACUGGGAAACCCACUGAAGCUUUAUGAUCAGGAUUUAGGCUUUAUGUUUAUUCCACCCCAAUCAGAAUGGUUUCUGAAGCUCCUACUUGUAAUUCAAACUCGAAAAGACGUUUUAGGUCGGAUAACGUAUUCAUCAUGUGUCUGGCGUUUGGGUACGGCAACUUGAAACUUCAGUACAGAGAUUAGUUUACAUAAUGAGGGUAAUUAUGACAGAACUGUAACACAACACAAUUAGAACAGAUCCGUAACGCACACACACAAGUUUAUGUAAGUGUUUUGAGCAUGUGCAUCCGUAAUGCUAUCUCUAUAUCUCUCUCUCUCUAUCACCAUUUCUUUUCCUCUUUUAUGUUGGCAUGGCAAACAACGGAGAAGUGUCGGAUUUUUUCAGUGUGUGUUUUUCAUUUCACGCGCGCCGCUGAUCCGGCAGUAUGAGGAAACGUUUACGGCAAAAGGGCGGCUCCGGGACACUUCCAUUUCCAAAGUUAGAAAUAUAGUUGCACUACUGGAUGCCCUUUGUUUAUUUAUUUAGCUCAGUUACUCUGUUACUUCUUAACAGAGACCGAUCCUUUUCGCCCCGUCACGGUAGGCCAUGACUCCGCCCACAUCCACAGGACACAAAAGCUCACCGAAUAGUUUGACGAGAAUGAAAAUGGUAUGUUAUGGCCUUCACGUUCAUCAGGUCUGGAUCCAGUUGAACAGUUAGGGGAGGUUUUAGAGCGAGGUGUUUGUUAGCGCUCCCCACCACCAUCCUCAAAACACCAGCUGAAGGAAAAUCUUUCGGAUAAUUGUGUAACACGGUUUCCAAAGCGUGUUUCAUCUUUACCGAGGUGCAUUGACGCUGAUCUGGUAGCUCAUGGUUGCUUAAUAAGGAACCAGAUCUAGAUUUGGUUUUGCUCAUUGUGUGUAUGAUUUUCUUGUCUUUAUGGCUUAAUGGCUUCAUUGGGAAAUGAUUAGAAAUUGAUUUAUAUAAAAUAUGUAUAAAGAAGUGCCUUUCUUCCUAGUAUCCAUGCAGCUCACCCGUGCUCCUGUCAUUAAAGCUGUAGCAGAAUAUUACGGGCGUUUAAUCAGGCAUCGCGCACCUCCUGGAGGCGACGUGAUCGCAUUAACUCUGUAAACCGUGAACGAGAAGACGAAACUCUCCAGAGUCAUUUCACAGCAUGCGUUCUAAAAAGUACAUCGUGUACUCAUCUCCUCCGCGCCGUAGUACAAGGCCAUGUCAGAAGACAUCGCACAUUCGUGACGCGCUAAUAAACCCUUCGCGCCUGUGAACUGAGACUUCAUCUGAUUCACGAAGUCUUAGAUUAGGUUUGUGUAAGUUAUUUCCUUUCCUCUAAUCUUUGGAAUGAAUAAAUAAUAAAUAAAUAAUUCACCAGCUUUCCCAGCAGCUCCUACGGUAUUUUGUAACUGCGGACUGAAUAAUAUUUCCAGAUCAUUUCCUCUCAUACACUGUAUGAGUUUCAAAAGUUUGUGGGACCCUGACAGUCACACUCGUACUAUUCGUACACACUCAUACUGGAUGUCCCUCCCUCCAGCUUGCUGUAUUAAUAACAUCCACUCUUAUGGGAAGGAUUUAUGCAAGAUUUUGGAGCGUGGCUGUGGGGAUUUGUGAUCAUUCAACAACUGAGGGCAGUGAUAUUUUUCAGGUGCAGUCGAAUUUCCAGUCCCAAAUGGUGUUCAGUGGGGUUGAGGUCAGGGUUCUGUACAGAACACUCAAGUUCUUCUAGUCCAGCCUUGGUGAACCAUGUCUUCAUGGAGCUUGCUUUGUGUCAUGCUGGAGCAGGUUUGGGAACACGUUCUGCUUGUUCUGUCAUAGAAAGACAUCUGAACGAUCGACAUUUCUUCUCAAAGAUCACUGUUGUACUCUUGACGAAACCCAGUGGUCGUGGUCUCUUCCAGGACGAGGGUUUCCAGGAUGACGUCUGCUGACGAGGAUGAAAAUGACUGUAAAUCAUACAGUACAGAACGAUGGGAUCUCAACCCGAUGGAGCUUUCAGAGUGAUUAAUGUUAACGCCGUUAUUCAAACACCAUUUGAGCGAAUAUCUUUCGAGAGCACCCUCCGUCCCUCAUCGCAGCCGGUGGUGUCCCGGUGUCCCUUUCUGAAACGCAUCACAUUGUUUUUCUUUUAGGCUGCGCUUGAUGAAUCAGCACUAAUGCUCUCGAUAUAAGAGGAACACGAUGAAUUAUCUAGCCAGUCGAGUUCAGAGGUUUUUUUUCUUUUUCUUUUUUUUUGGCGAACUGAAAAUGUAGACCUGGUUUUUCUCCCUGUGGUUUGAUUUCACGUAACCUCAAUCUUCGCCUCAAUCAGGAUGCCAUGCCGUGACUUCUCAAUAAUUUGGGGGAGGGGAGGGAAACAGCUCUAGGCCUCGUCUGUGAGUUAUAUAACAGCUCUUAUGGUUGCAGAUUCACAGGUAUUCUCAUGAAACAUAACAAAAGUUACAGUAAGGUUUUAGUGGUUUGGAUUUUUCUUUCUUUCAUAUGAAAUCCAGAAAAAACACCUUUCUUGCUCAGUGGGGAUUCUUCAGAACCAGCUCUAAUGAGGAAAGCUGAAGGUUUGAGUAGCAGGUGUUUGAGGUCGAGACUUAUUAGAAAACCGAUCGUAUGGAUAGUUAAACGACGAAAAUGAGAGUGAGCGAUAGUGAGAGUUUAUGAACCGGUCAUUACGGUUACUUAGGAUAUUUAAGAAAUGAAAGUAUGGUGGAGAUGUUCACGUUACACCACAGCUGUGCUGACUUUUGGAGUCCAGUUAGUCAGAAGGUGCUGAUUAACACACAUGAGAACAGGAAGUAACUUCUCAGAGAUUUUUCCAUAACGAUAAACUUCUUCUUUAAGACCUUUUUGGAAUUGCUGUAUCGUAUAAGGAAUAAAACGCUUCACACCUACCUGAUUGGGAUUUUUAUUCUUUAAUUAUAAAAAGCGACUGCUGUAAUAAUGUAACCUCUUAAGCCUCCAGGUCAGUAUUUAAACACCAGUGUGUGGAAAGUGUCACGUGUAAUGAUUUACGAAAUGACAAUUUUGUUAAAUAACGCAACCUGACGUACGAAGUUUCCCUAAUGGUGGUGGCUGCAAUAAUUACAGGACACUAUUCCGAAAGAAGCGCGAAUUGUACCGGCUUUUAUUCAUGUAGUAGGAGUAAUGGUUCCAUUGGGAACCAUUAACAAUUAAAUCAGAUUAUUAAAUUAUAUUUAAAUAAUUUGAUUAAAGUUUGCGUCGUGUUUUGUUUUUGUUUGUUUUGUUUUAAAAAAAAAUAUUUAAAUAUCUGCUAUUUGGUGUGGUGGGAUUCAAGUACGGUCGCAUUCAUCCGGAUAAGUUUGAAAACGCAUCUUUUUCUCUACAUCUUGGCGUUGCGUUCACACCGAGACGGAGUUUUUUGCCAAGCAAAAACGGAGCUUUUCGAAAACGCCAUUUUUGCAUUGUAGUGUGGACCGAGUAAGCAGUCACGUCACAUGACCCAUUCAGCUCAAAAGAAACAAGACGGUGGAGGACGUUGUAUUGCGGUUGUUGUGCCUGCUGUCCGUUUUGAUGGUGUUAAACAUUGAUGUCACUUUGUACAGCCUUCAGACUGCAUUUAUAAACAGACGCCUGACGGAAAUGACGUACGCCGACGCUUCUUCAGCGUUUUCAGAUCCGUCCGGAUUAACGUGCACGUAGUCUUGCUCAAAUUUCCCCUGUUACAUGUCGAGCCGUUCGUAUCCGUGUGAGCAUCUGUUGCUGGAUUAUGCAAAGGAGUUAAACGAUGAACGGAGCGGUAAAACCAGUUUGCAUUUCAGUGAGAAUGUUCCAUUGCACAACUAAGUGGCGGGAUUACCGUCGUAUGUACUAUUUGUAUACAAACGCAGAGAACUUUUUUUCAUUUCUUGCUGAUAGAUCUGAAAUGUUUAAGGUCUAAUAUCAUGGAUGAUCUGCUGGUGGACAAAUUGUACACUGCAGUGGAAGUUCCCCGCAUGCCUCCUUUGAACCCAUCAUAACCUCAAUAGAGACCUCGGUAAUACGAAAGGAAAGCUCCAGACUGUACAGGAAGUGACUAAAGAAAGCUCGGCCUGAAGCAUUUAAGGAAUCGAGCAGUUUAGAGAGAUGAGAGUUGGGCUUCUUGUGGGUUGUCGUGUUCCUCCAGAGCUCUGCUGCUCUGUUUCUGUGGAACAGUCUUAUGAAACUUCUCACCCUUUCAGGAAACCAAGAGUCCCAGUUAUCAGCUGUUAUUCUCACUAUCGCUGCGACGAAGCGUCGCUUUUGCCUUUUAGCGAAACGAAAUAAAUUGGACGUGCGAAGGUUUUUGUUUUGUUUUUGUCAGUUCCUCGUUUAAGGUUUUAAGAGUUCAUAUCAAAUGGGUUGAGCGUGAAAGACGAUCCUUCCCCAUUUUUCAGAUGCGAAAUAGUUCAAUGUUUGUGGACAGGGAAUUAAGUUCUGCUAAAAGCUUGGUGCCAAUUUUAUGGUUUGUAGAAAUACUGAUCAGAUAUACCUAAUAAAUGUUCCACUUUAUUAAUAUGCAUUAAUAUAUGAAUCACUCAGCAUUGAUCGAGUGAGUGAGUGAGUGAUUGAUUGAUUGUUUUCCAGUAACAGGUGUUCUCUCACAGCAAUUUGCAACCAACCAUUAAAACGUUUUAAACAUAAAGAAAAACAUAAACAUUAUGUUUUGUACAAAAACAAACGUUUUUAAAAAAAAAUCCAUUUACAAAUAUAUUUAACGUCGUGGAACGUCCGCGAAACAAGACGGUUCCUGUUAUCGCUAUUGUUAUAGCAGCUAUAACCCGUCAUUUCCUCACAUACUUCUUCUUUUCUUUUCACCCUCUUGAAGUUAAUAAGAUGCACAAAAAAAGCAUGUGACUCGUUCCCAAGAAACUGCAGGACACGACGUCCCCGAGACCUUUUGAGUAAUACUGGUUACAAAGCUCUGACGCUGGAGACUCCUUCUGUAGACAUUGCACCAGCAGAUAUACCCGAGAGCAUUAAUAUACUGUAAACCUAUGAUUUCCCCACUACUAACCGAGCUGUGAUCAUUUCUCGAACAUUAUUCAGCACCUUCUGACCAAUCAGAAUCGAGAAUUUGGUAUCACCACGGUGUAACGAUCAACAAAAUGGUACGGUAAAGGACCCGCUGUAAUAAACAGGCUUUUACUGCUAAAGUAGACUUUGAGUGGUUUUAUGGACUCUACAGAAGAGAAAGUAAGUGUGAGUGUGUGUGUAUGGGGGGGUAAAGAUGUAAUUGCAACUACAGAGUAGGAGGUGAGAGACAGGGAUGAUAUCAAAGUCAGUGUUUCGCCCAUGGUGUCUGUGACUGAAACUAAACUGUACCAGAGGUUAGAGUGAUUUGAGGCCAGUGCAGGGAAUAUGUGGGGUGUGGUAGUGAAUUGAAAUGGUUGUGUGUGUGUGUAAGAUGCUCAGCUCCUCUGAUGCAUGAACAUGUUUCUCCAGCUGCAUGUAGAUCGUAGGUGAUUGUUCUAGAUGAAGUGUUUGAGACAGGACUUUGAGUAUUACAUGUUUACAGGCAGGUGGUUUCAGUAGCUCAGUAGCACAAUCUCCGGUUCUCUUCACCGCUCUGCUUUGGUUUUGUGGUCACGUUCCGAUUUAUGAGGGUGGCAGCUGAAUCUGCUAAAUUGCUUCCAUCCCCAAUUGCCACACACUCGCACCUUAGGAACGUCUAACCCGUCCACCUCGUCUCUCUGAUCCGCUCUAGUCCACGCUGUUCUCACAAGGUCGGCAUAAAAAAAGUACAUUCCGUGUCACAGCCAGUUGAUUUUUAUCUCCUUCUCGACCUACAUCGAGUUACGCAACCGAUUGCGAAACAUAACGCUAGCUCACGUCUGAAACCUGACUCGGAGCACUUAAAAGGGUUGCCAGAUCAGAACAGUUCAGAAUCCCCCUCCAUUUUCUUCCAUAAAUAAUAAUA
ensembl:lncRNA